UUCCUCCAAAGGACAAGAUAUGUGGCCAGCAGACAAGGCACCAUUGCCCGAUCAUGAAAAUGUUUCUGUUGUUUAUGAGUUAAUCUGAACUGUUCACGAGUGAAAACACUAUUGGUCCUCUGUAUCUAGUUUUUCUCUCAUCUCUUCUCUCCUUUUCAAGACAGCCAGCUUUCCAAUGAAAUUCACAUCCUAGAUAAGACCCUUGCUGCACGGGUAAGAUAGCAGACAUCAAGGCUCAUGGAUGAUAGAAAGAAGCUAGCAGCCAAACAUGAGAAGAGGAGCCUGGGACUCAGCAAAGACAUAGCUGAGCACAGUGUCCACAUUUCUGUAUGGCAGCCAGCUGGGUGCUGAGGAGGAAACUAUCUUUAGGGGACCCUAAGGUGGAACUUAAGAAGGCAGACUGCCACACACAGCAUCUUAUUUGGAUGUGCCUGGAGUCUUGGAAACUUGACUACCCUAUAUUCUGCAAAUGGACACUGAGAACUUGUUUGGAGGUUCUGCAGGGAAGUACAGUUACUCAUACAUGUUUCUCUUCUCUCUGGGAAAGUCCUUCUAUUAAACCAAGCUAGCUAACAUGUUCCAAAAGAACACACAGAGAAUGAUGAAGUAGGAAGGGGAUUCAGCCUAGCCAGCCAGGUCGGCCUAUGAAUGCUUGCACUCAAUAGAGUGACAGAUGUUGCAUCCAGAUCACUCUCAUAUUUGACAAUCUCUUAACUUGAUAUUAAAUGCAGUAUAAUGACAAAUAGACAAAAAACACAAUUAAAUGAAGUUAAAAAUAAACUCAAUCCAUUUGAAUGCCAAAGUGAAGUCAGAUUAUUGUAUUGAAUGUAAUAUAUAUAAAAGAUAGA